GCUUACGAGUGUACCACUCUGAGCGUACCCAAUCACAUCUGAUCUUGGAAGCUAAGCCGGGUUGGGCCUGGUUAGAUGGGAGACCACCUGGGAAUACUAUUUGGUGGUCA
rnacentral:rRNA from 1 species